rnacentral:rRNA from 1 species
GACGAACGCUGGCGGCGUGCUUAACACAUGCAAGUCGAACGGACAGGCCCUGCUUUUGUUGGUUGCUCGAGUGGCGCACGGGUGAGUAACACAUGAGUAACCUGCCCUUAUCUUUGUGAUAACUUCAGGAAACUGGGGCUCAUACCGCAUAUGAGCUCCUGCUGCGUGUUGUGCGUUGGAAAGUUUCGGCGGUUGGGGAUGGACUCGCGGCUUAUCCGCUUCUUGGGCGGGUAGUGGCUUACCAAGGCUUUGACGGAUAGCCUGCCUGAGAGGGGUGACGGGCACAAGGGGACUAAGAGACGGAGCAGAAGCGAAUGGGAGGCAGCAGGGGGGAAUAUGGCAGAAUGGGCGGAAGUCAGAGGCAGAAAUGCUGCGUGCGGGAUGACGGGCUUCGAGGGGUAAACCGAUGUGGACGGUAACGAAGCGGGAGUGACGGUAAUGGGUAAAGAAGCAACGGCUAACUACGUG